rnacentral:misc_RNA from 1 species
AAAAACAGUGAUAAAAUUGUGAGCAAUAGUGGUAACAUGUUUUGCGACGAUUAUGUGUGUGAACCCAGCUAUAGGAGACGAAAAUAUCAAAUAUAUCAAAAAGAGAGAUUAAAGAAACACUUGACCGUGUUGUUGUCCAUUUCUCCAUUGGUAGAGUUAGAAGAGACUGACGGGUCCCAAACGAACCUCACAUCGUCCCCUUUGGCAGGCAGUGGCCCAGGGGGGCACAAACCUUCUUUCAAAGGGACAAAACUAGCACGAAGAGCACGGUCAUUUAAGGACGAUUUUUUAGGUAAAAUAUCACAAAUGAGGAGUCCGGGAUCAUCAGGCACACUGGCCUCGAGGGCUCACAGCCCUAAAGGGGGCUUCAAAGGUUCUCCGGUUAUUAUGGACAGCAGGCAACAGGAAGUUAAAGGACCGGCACAAGAGUUGGAAGAUUAUUGGAAACAAACGCAGAUUGCACUGACUCACUUAAGGGAUGUGGUGUCAAAAGAUAAGCUAGAAAUGUUACCAGGGAAUGGAACGAUCGUUUUAGACACGAUAUGGUCCAUAAACUUGUCAAUAAAAUCUUCAGUUAAUAAUGACCACAGUAGUAGCGUCGUUUCUGCAAUGCACAGAGUUUACCAAACAGUUGCCAGGUUAAUAAAGCUUUGCGAUGAUGCCCUGGUUGAUGCUCAAAGUUCCGAAUUGAAACUUGAAAAUGUAAACGAAAUAGUAGCUCAAGUGGAAGAUGCAGUGAGGACCCUAAUUCAGUUGGCACAAGAGAAAAUAUCGCAACAACAACAAUUAACAUCUUAUAAAACCACUCCCCGUACAUCCUUUAGUAAUUGUAGCUUAGAAGUUCAGUCACAACGAAAUUCAUUACCAGAUAUACCGUUAACGCCAAGGGAAAGGGAAAUUUUGGAACAGACGUCGUGUAAUUUGCCGAUACGGAGCAGCCACAGCACAGAAAGUAUUUUAAUGGAUCCAAAUCCACCUCCUAAACCACCGUUACCUGAUAGUUUAAGAACAGGCACCUAUAGUGUUACACCCCCACCCAUUCCUCCUAAGAAAAAGAACCAAAGAUUACAUCAUGUAGUUGAUGAUGGUCACAGCACUGAUAGUUCCCCUAUAGGGAGUAGUUUAGAAAGAGUAUUUAUGGUAUCAAAGUCUCCAGAAGAUUCAGUAUCGUUAUUUUCGGAAGGCAGCAUAGACUCUAUGUUAAACCAAUCUUCUAAAGAAGAAGACGAAAUUAAGGCUCUUAUGGAGUGUGACCAAGACAUGUUAUUGGAAAACCACACUUCUGACAUAUUUGGUAUAGGUUCAAAUUCUUGGGAGGAAUCGUCACUCAGUUCAGGGAUAUCCAAUCACAAUCUAGAUCUUCAAACUACAGUGAACGAUUAUCACCGACUGUCGAAUACGGACUCUGGUAUAGUGUCGACAAGAUCAUCCAGCUAUUCUAAAAGAAGUUCCCAACAAAGUUCUGUAAGUACACAAUUCUGUCUGACAUCUCGCCAAUCGAAUGACCAUUUUCUGGAUAGCCCGUCGGUGGCUGUCAAAAGUUUCGCACAGAAAAGUUCCAGUAGUUCGAGUUCGACGAUGGUGAUAUCUAAUAGUUCGCAUUCGGUCGUAUCCAAACUGGGCUUGGACGGUGACGAAAUUCCCCCAGCUAUUCCCCAAAAGACUAAGAAGAAGACUGAACCAAGACAGCCUAGUCCCUAUGAUAACGUUUCUCAGUUGGACAAUUUUAUAGAUGACCUGAGCCAGGCUGAAGUAUUAGUGAGUUGUCAGAAGCACCAAAUGCACCAACACAGUCAAUUUAGCAGUAUGGUAUCAAACAACACAAGUACAAAUGUCGAUUUAAGCGAUGAAGUGGAUGGAAAGCCACCGCCUCUACCUCCAAAGAAAAAACACAUGUUCCAGUCUGUGGCUUACAGCGUUAUGGCGUAUAUGGAAAUGUUUGGAAAUUGUUCCCACAGUAACGACCAAGAAUACAUGAGACAGUCUAUGCAUUUGGCGCAGUCUCAUUGGUCGGGUUCUUCGGGAUUAUCCAGUACUCAAUCGUGUUCGUUUAGCCAUUCGUCGACUCACAGUUCCAGUCGAAGUUCACAGUCUCAAACACUGUGUUUACCACCACAUUCCGCCACUGAAAGAGGUCCGUCUCCUUUACAUUCCCCUAACCCAACAAUUUCUUCAUCGUCUAGUAACAGUUCAGUGGUUCCUCCUCUACCACCGAAGCAAAAAACGCGGAAAUCUUCCUCCAAGUCGCCUCCGCCUACUCCCACGUCGUUAACGCAUCUACAGGAACCUAAAAGUGCAAGUCUAACACCUUCGCCCAAUCAAAUUAAAAGUUUACCCGACCUAUUGGAACAUACGGCCAGUAUAGGAAAUGACGAAAAAUCGGAAGUUCCAGAGGUGAGUUUAGUUGAUGUUGACUUAAUGGAAGAACUGAACGUGGAUAAGUAUCUCAUUAAGAAAAAACCUGAAGAGGAUGGUCCAGAAAUAAGAGGUGGAAGCAUAGACGCUUUGAUUAUACAAGCCACUAAAGCCACUAAGAAUGGAGUAUUUGCAUAUCAAGAGGCUUUCUUAACAACUUAUCGGACAUUCAUAAGCCCCUUUGAGUUAAUAAAAAAGCUGAUCAGAAGAUACAACCAUUUCUACUAUCAGCAGGAUAAGAAACCAAGAUCGAGGGAGGCGUUUGCCCUUAUAGUUCGGGUUGUGAGCGAUUUAACAAAUUGUUGGACUUGGAUGAGCAUUUAAUUCAUAAACUAACAAGUUUUGUUCAGCAUUUAAUUUCUUGUGGAGAAUUAAUACUAGCCAAAGCCUUAAGGGUGAAAUUUUUGGAAAGACAUGCUACUAAGCAAGUAACAGUCGGGUACCCAAAUAUUAUCAGUAGUCUUUCAUUAAGUGCCAGAACUUCAACUUUGUUAGAUUUUAAAUCUGAACAUAUAGCAGAACAAAUGACACUGUUGGAUUCUAAAUUAUUUAUGAAAAUAGAAAUACCGGAAGUGCUAAUAUGGGCACAAGAACAAAACGAAGAGAGAAGUCCGAACUUGACUAGGUUUACUGAACAUUUCAACAAAAUGUCG